AGACCUUUUAAUUUUCACAUUUCAAUCGAAAGUUUGAUAACGGCUGCAAUGGAAUCAACUGCAACUAUUAUGUCAUGGGAUGAAUCAAACGAUGUUAUGAAAUUCGAAAUGACCUGCGAAAAUUAUUUUCUCCCUGAAACUAUAUAUCCAUUUCGUGUCGUUCUUAUGAAAAUUACGGAAAGCAGAAAAUAUACAGUCAUCUCAUCAUCUUCACCAUCAUCAAGAGCUAACACGACAUCUUUUGUCCCCAACCUAAUUUCGAAGACCG
rnacentral:lncRNA from 1 species